UUCAUCAUUCAACUGUAAAUCAGUUUUACCUCCCCACUGGUCUUUUACAAUCGAUCGUCUACCCAUACAGACAUUUUUUACUACCCAAGUUAUACGUAAUUUUCGCAUACAGACAGAUAAAUUUUGGUGCCGAACUGUAAAUUCAGCAUUUGGGUAUGCGUUUUGGCUAAACGUACCCAAAGUGGUAAAAUUAUCUAUCUGCAUCACCGAUAAAAUAAUGUGUGCGACGCGCAUACCGACUGAAAUUCGGCAAAACUUAGGCGUUCGCGAACGAUCUUUUCGGUAGAUAAAUUAAAUGGAUGUGAUUUUCGUUACGAAAUUUACAGCAGUUGUAUUCUGGCAACAUAAUAAUUCAGAUUCAAGUUUAGUUUCAAGUGAGAAUGUGAAAAAUUUUCUGUGACCACCCAAGUUAUGCUGAGUUUUGCGUAGUCUGAGAUGGCGCUUCCAUCGCAGACGGGAGAUACGCAAGAAGCGUUUAGACACGCUUCCGCGUUGUGUGUGCGGUUAAGUAGGUGGAGUGGAUCAAGUGGAAUUUUUUGCAUUUUUCAUCAGAGAAUAAAGGUUCGUGGGCAAGAAUACGGAUCCAUCUGGCGAAAUGAGUUUUGCGAUUGUCUCAUCGGACCGCACCCUCUGAUUGAGUGAAAUCAUUUUACUAUGAUUUAUUGAAGGACCUUAGUUGCCAUGCUAUGCCGACAAUGAUUCGUAAUCUUGCACGUUGCACUUCCUUUGAACCGUUCCAGCUUACUGCGCUGACCAUUGACUCUUAUCUUUCAAACCACGCCUUCGUUUAAGCCAAAUAUCCAUGAUUUUCUGAAAGCUUCUGUUUCGAUCAGACUUAAGCUAACUAUGCUAAGCCACAACUCAUCUUCUGCUUGAAUGACUCACAAGCACGUACCAUCUCUCCGGCUCAUCAAUUUGAACAGGACUUUUAUGAGGUAUAGAAUACCUGUAUGAUAACCAAAAUACAUUAUCGAAGGCUAUGCGAUAGUCAAAAUAAUGAAAGUGCAAGAGAAUGGUAAAAUAGCAAAUCAAGAAGUUGGUGGCCUGCUUGAAUUCUUCCAAAGGGCUAUCUACGACAUCAAGGGAGAUGAAACUACAAAGAGUAGUAGCAGGGUGGAAAGAAGAAAGUCAGCAAAAGGAGUGUUGUUCAAAAAUCCACCAAUGAUUUCUCCACAAUUCAAAACGUUAAUGCGGGAUUUUGAUAAUUAUCGGAGCUUGUGGGGUAUUUAGAUUAUAGGGUAUUUUGAGCAUAUAAAUGUAUAUACUCAACAACUACCAAAUAAAUAUAGCAUUCAUAUAGUUUACGUCCUAGGUUAAGCAUGUAAAUCUGUACCUAAACACUACCGAAGAAAAAUAUCAUAAGUUUGAAAUAAAUGUAUCAUUUGCUAUCACUAAUUCAUUUCUAAUGCCAUAAAUUUGUUGAUGCGGGUAGUUCAAAUCACCUAUCACGCAGAUUGAAUUUACCUACACGGGUUGUAAAAUCCACUCUGUUCACCUCGGAGUUAUUUUUACCCUUCAACGAGGAUAAUCUUGAUUUAUGUCCCCACAUACUACGUAAAUUUAUCGACCCAAAAAAAAAAUAAAACUACAUACCCAUGGGUAGGCAUAUUUCUCUACCCAGACUAGGUAACAAGGCGUUGCACCACCCACACGGGUAAAUUUACCCUCAAAAUUU
rnacentral:lncRNA from 1 species